rnacentral:rRNA from 1 species
AGAGUUUGAUCCUGGCUCAGGAUGAACGCUGGCGGCGUGCUUAACACAUGCAAGUCGAACGGGAAUGCCGCGCUGAUGCGAUUUCGGUCAAAUCAUGUGGCAUUCGAGUGGCGGACGGGUGAGUAACGCGUGGGUAACCUGCCUUACACAGGGGGAUAACACCUGGAAACAGGUGCUAAUACCGCAUAAGCGCACAGGGCCGCAUGGCCCGGUGUGAAAAACUCCGGUGGUGUAAGAUGGACCCGCGUCUGAUUAGCUUGUUGGCGGGGUAGGGGCCCACCAAGGCGACGAUCAGUAGCCGGCCUGAGAGGGUGGACGGCCACAUUGGGACUGAGACACGGCCCAAACUUCUACGGGAGGCAGCAGUGGGGGAUAUUGGACAAUGGGGGAAACCCUGAUCCAGCGACGCCGCGUGAGUGAAGAAGUAUUUCGGUAUGUAAAGCUCUGUCAGCAGGGAAGAAAGAAAUGACGGUACCUGACCAAGAAGCCCCGGCUAACUACGUGCCAGCAGCCGCGGUAAUACGUAGGGGGCAAGCGUUAUCCGGAAUUACUGGGUGUAAAGGGAGCGUAGACGGUGAUGCAAGUCUGGAGUGAAAGGCGGGGGCCCAACCCCCGGACUGCUCUGGAAACUGUGUAACUUGAGUGCAGGAGAGGUAAGCGGAAUUCCUAGUGUAGCGGUGAAAUGCGUAGAUAUUAGGAGGAACACCAGUGGCGAAGGCGGCUUACUGGACUGUAACUGACGUUGAGGCUCGAAAGCGUGGGGAGCAAACAGGAUUAGAUACCCUGGUAGUCCACGCCGUAAACGAUGAUUACUAGGUGUCGGGGGGAAUGGACCCACGCGGUGCCGCAGCAAAACCGCAGUAAGUAAUCCACCUGGGGAGUACGUUCGCAAGAAUGGAAACUCAAAGGAAUUGACGGGGACCCGCACAAGCGGUGGAGCAUGUGGUUUAAUCCGAAGCAACGCGAAGAACCUUACCAAGUCUUGACAUCUGGAUGACAGGGACGUAACGGUCCCCUUACUUCGGUACAUCCAAGACAGGUGGUGCAUGGUUGUCGUCAGCUCGUGUCGUGAGAUGUUGGGUUAAGUCCCGCAACGAGCGCAACCCUUAUCUUCAGUAGCCAGCAGGUAAAGCCGGGCACUCUGGAGAGACUGCCGGGGAUAACCCGGAGGAAGGUGGGGAUGACGUCAAAUCAUCAUGCCCCUUAUGAUUUGGGCUACACACGUGCUACAAUGGCGUAAACAGAGGGAAGCGAGCCCGCGAGGGGG